UGGGGAAUAUUGCACAAUGGAGGGAACUCUGAUGCAGCGACGCCGCGUGAACGAAGAAGGCUUUCGCGUCGUAAAGUUCUUUUAUAUGGGAAGAUAAUGACGGUACCAUAAGAAAAAGCCCCGGCUAACUACGUGCCAGCAGCCGCGGUAAUACGUAGGAGGCUAGCGUUGUCCGGAAUCACUGGGCGUAAAGGGUUCGCAGGCGGAAAUGCAAGUCAGGUGUAAAAGGCAGUAGCUUAACUACUGUAAGCAUUUGAAACUGCAUAUCUUGAGAAGAGUAGAGGUAAGUGGAAUUUUUAGUGUAGCGGUGAAAUGCGUAGAUAUUAAAAAGAAUACCGGUGGCGAAGGCGACUUACUGGGCUCAUUCUGACGCUGAGGAACGAAAGCGUGGGUAGCAAACAGG
rnacentral:rRNA from 1 species